CACAUAUGGGCUCGUGGAGGCAGCUCGGGGCAGCGGGUAGGUGGGGGCAGUAUGGGGAAUGCGGGCCCUGCCACCUCCACCCUGAGAGACCCGUGGGGGGUGCUGCAUAACUAGCUCCUGCAGUGGGAGCAUCGCUGAGCACUGUCCCUGGGAGAGGACGACCCCAGGCUCCACAGCCAAGCUGCCCUGAGGCUAAGUGUCCCGGGGCCCAGGGAGCCCCAGCAGCAGCCCCGCACGGUCAGGCCUGGGCCACGGUGCUGCUCAGUGGUCCCUGCGCGGUCAGCACCUGAAUGGCUGCUCGCCUGGCUUGGCGUGCCUUCUCCUCCCGGGCCUUCCUCCUGGCUGCCUCUUUCUGCUGGUGCAGGUCCAAGAGGGUCCCCUCGCCUGACCGCUGCCGCUGCUCCUGCCAAAGAAGCCGGUGCCAUGUGGCGUUUACAUCUGGAAGACGGAAUCCAGACCCAGACCAGAGGUUUCCCCACAACGCCCUGGAGUCCCCUAGAGUUCGUGGAAUCUCAGGGCCAGCAGGGAAAGUGAAACCCCACCAGGACCUUGAACCUGCCAUUUCUCUGCUCUACAGAGGAUGAGCCCUACGUCGCAGGUGGCCAACAGUUCUGGCGUGGGGGAGACAGCUCUGCCCCCACAGAACGUCCUCCUGAGACUCUCCAGCCUGGGAUGGACCCAGCAGGCGUUUCCUGACACCCAGGCCCUGAGGACCGCCAGUGAGGACCACCCUGACUGUCCGCGGGGACCCAGGGUCAAGAAGGAUGCUGCACCCAGAGACGGGGCCCACGAGCAAUCCUAGGCUUUGAUUCCACCUGUCCCAGAAACUCAAACCCCUGGGAUUCUGGGCCAGACCCCCCGGGGGAGCAUGGAGUGACUGAGACGCCCACACUGACCUCCCGCUUGGCCUGAAGCAAGUGCUCCAGGCGGGCAGCUCCUGCUCCGCGCCGCUGCACCUGGUGCCGGUACCAGCGCUGGAUGGUGACAGUGGCCUGGUUCACCUGGUGGAUAAACCUGCCCGGAGAGCAGGACUCAGGGCCAAGACAGGACCAGCGCCCCGGCAGGACCCAGCUGGCUGCUGGUGGAAGGUCGAGCCGGGGAAGAGAGAAGCCGGCGGCUGCACUCAAGUAGCCCUUUUCACAAGGCAGGACCAGCCCACCUGGACCAUUUUCACAUGGCAGGACCAGCCGCCUGGACCAGCUCCACUAAAACCCAAAACCUUCUUCCUGGGAAGGUGCCCAGGGGAGAGGAAACGCCUACCCACGCAGGCCUGUGUGGCCUUAUUUACAAUUGCCAGGAAGUGGGAAGAGUUCAAAUGCCCAUGACCUGGCUACAGCGUGAAUACUGGAUGGCGGGACCCUACCCACAGGCAACAGGCCCGGGACUCAGGCCAGUGCAGACCACAGGCCGUGGCUCCACAGAGAGGGUGGUCGGAACAGGCAGGGCUAUGAGGGAACAGACUGGUGGCUGCUGGCAUCUGGGCGGGGAAGGAGCUCGAGGGAAGCCUGGUGGUGCUGGGCCGUUUCCUUAUCUUGGUCUGCUGUGUCCACAGACAGCACUAUACACCCUGGUGGAAUCUCAUGGAACUGCACACUUACAAUGGGCACCUUCUAUUGUAUACAAAUUAUACUAAGUAAAACUGAUUAAGC
rnacentral:lncRNA from 1 species